rnacentral:sRNA from 1 species
CAAGUCUUUGCUUACUAUCAUGAUGUCUAAUAAUGUAAGUAUGAGAUUUAUCUUACAUUUUUGAAGUUAUACAGGCAUUUCAGCUGCAAUACUCUGGGCGGGAUAAAAUUCUUUGUUCUAUAUGUUGUUCUCCCGAAAGUUUUAUAAGUAGCAAGUCCAGUUUUUAAACUGUUAUAAUCAUAAAGAUGUUAUUUCUGUUUACUAUUUCAGUUUGUUGAAAUUAAAGGAAGUGUUUUCAAGAAGUUUGAAAAGAACAAUCUCUUUCAAAUGUCAAAUAGCGAUAUUAAGGAACGAUUCACAAAUUAUGUGCUUUUAUUGAUAGUGUGUCUAAGAAACAUGGAACAGUUUUCUUGGAAUCCAGGUAACUCACUCUUAACAAAACAGUGUCUUAUAAUUUUACUUCUAAGCCAAAGUCAUUCUUUUACAUGGAAUAAAAUGAAUAUUGCAG